rfam:Deinococcus sp. TR1 contig_115, whole genome shotgun sequence.
CCCACUGCGCAAGCAGGUAAGACUCCCGGAAGACCACCGGGUUAAGAGGCCAGAAGUGCAAGUACAGCAAUGUACUCAGCUGACUGGUGCUCAUCAGUCGAGGUCUUGACCAU